CCUACGGGAGGCUGCAGUGGGGAAUAUUGCACAAUGGGGGAAACCCUGAUGCAGCGACGCCGCGUGAAGGAAGAAGUAUUUCGGUAUGUAAACUUCUAUCAGCAGGGAAGAAAAUGACGGUACCUGAGUAAGAAGCCCCGGCUACCUACGUGCCAGCAGCCGCGGUAAUACGUAGGGGGCAAGCGUUAUCCGGAUUUACUGGGUGUAAAGGGAGCGUAGACGGCAGUGCAAGUCUGGAGUGAAAGGCGGGGGCUCAACCCCCGGACUGCUCUGGAAACUGUACGGCUGGAGGGCAGGAGAGGUAAGUGGAAUUCCUAGUGUAGCGGUGAAAUGCGUAGAUAUUAGGAGGAACACCAGUGGCGAAGGCGGCUUACUGGACUGUAACUGACGUUGAGGCUCGAAAGCGUGGGGAGCAAACAGGAUUAGAUACCCUUGUAGUC
rnacentral:rRNA from 1 species